CUCCGAACAAAAACAUACAGUGUGCUGAAAAGGUUUUGUUAAACUCACAAAUAUCACGUAUACGACGAGUGUUGCAGCACAUCAGCGUUAGCGGCAGCAGCUUGAGCUUCAGUUAUAACACAGCUGGCUGUUUGGGGCAUUGGAACCGGAAGCGGAAGUGCUCAUAGUUGGCUGGCGGUGCAUAGUGCGGGCAGCAACACGGCAACAACGGCGGCCAGAAUUUUUUCACGUUUGGAUAGUGUCGAGGAGGUGCAACGCAGUCGCAGUGGCAGCGCUGUUGGAAUAACGCCCGGCGGUGGUGCAGUGGCAGCGGCAGCGGUGGCAGCGGGUUCACCAGCC